AAUCGUUUGCCCGCCUUUAUGAUUCAUAAAAAUAAAAAUUAUACUUUACAGUUUAAUUAAAUAUAUUUGAUUAAGUUUAUGAUACAAAAGUAUAGACAUAGAUUAUUAAUAUUAAAAACAAUAGAUAAUUUUAUACUGACAAUCAAUAGAAAUUUAUUGAAUAACUUGAAGUUGAAUAAUUUAAUGCCAUUAUACUUUUAUAUUGCAGUGAAUAACAAUUACGAAGUAUUGUAGAACAGUUUAUCGUCGGUUAGCAAGUCUUGUUCCGUUUAAAUUUGUAAGAUAAAAUUCAGUAUAUUUAAAAUGUAUGUGUUAAUAAUAUAAUCAAUGGAAAUUGCAAUGAAAGGCUGGCAUUCCACGGGAAAGCCUAACAUGAAAUCUAACGAAUGUAUAAAAUUGCCACAAUAUAAAUCAUGGUCAGAAAUAUCAUCAGAUUGUAAAACUAAAGAACAAUCAAGGUCCCAACCUGUAAGAAUAACACAAUUGCUUGAUUCAAAAACAAUUAAUCGCAAUGCACGCAAAAGAGCACAACCAGAGAGAUUAAAAAAAGUUCUUUCUAAUGAGAAGAAAGUAGGAUUAAUUCAAAAGAAUAAUGUUAAAGAAAAAUCACAACAAAAAGACUUAAUGAAGACAAGUCUUUACAAUAAACAUAUUCUGUCUAAUAUUAACAGUAACAAAAAAGAUAUGUCCUCUAAUUUAAUUAGAUGUGAUCGGAAAGUACGAAGAAAUUUAAAUUUAAAUUUUGUAUCUCCAAAACAAAAAAUGGAGAAAAGUAGUAGUACAGUGUUACCAGAGAUUCAAGAAAAAAACAAAAUUUGUUCAAAUUCAAGUAAUUAUUGUAAUUCAAAAAGUUUUCUUUUACCUCCAAAUUUUAUAAAAAGUAUGUAUUUGAAGCAACGAUGUAGCAAAGUUAUGCCAUCAUCUACUGUUUCUAUUAAAAACGAUAUGAUAACGAAUUUAGACAUGCUUGAAGCUUCAGAGAAUUUAAAUAUUAAAAAUCCUAAUGUACAAAUUUGUUCUUUUAUGCAAAGUACGCAUGAUAAUUCACAAACGGAAGUUAAUUUGAAGUUACAAAAACUUUUACAAUACGAUUGUGAAAAUAAAAGAAAUACAUUACAUAAUUCUAUUGAUAACGAAGAACCGUUAUCUUGUGAUAAAAGUGUAUUUAUAAGAAAAAAUAUGACAUCAAUAGGUAAUAAAAUACAAAAAGAAGAACAUUGUAAUAUAAAUAGAAGUAAUUCUUCUAUGAAUAAAAGUAUUGAUAAUUUAAAAGAUUCAUGCAAUGAAUUAAAAAAUAUAAUUUUCACAGAAGGAUCAGAAGUGUCUGUAAAUGAUAAUAGUGUAGGUUUUUCAAGGAAAGACCAUUUAUAUGUAGAUAGAAAUGCUAUCGUGUCUUUAAAAUCCUCUUUAGAAGACUUGUUAAAUAUAUUUCAAGAUAAUGCUUUAAAGACAGAUUUAGUAUUAAAACGUAUUAACAAAAUAUUGUAUGUUAAUACUGAUUCAAUGGAGGAACAGGUUCAUACUGUUGAUUCUAAUGGUAAAAUAAUGAGAGAAACUAUGCAAAUGUACCAUGAAGAGAAAGCAGAAAAAAAUAAUAUUGAUAUUAUAAACAGCAAAUCAAAGAAAAAUAAUAAUAAGGCAAGAACAGAAGCACAAGCUGAAUUAAGCGGAGCAGAUAAAGAAAAUGAUAUUUAUAAGAACUUAGAAUUUCCAUUUGAUCAUAACAAAUCUUUGCAACUAAGUCCACAAGUUCUUCAAAUCACUAUACCAAAUUAUACUAAGUUUGGUGAGUCAGCUUUGCAAGACUACAUAAACUUAAAGUCAUCCCUUAAUUUUUUAGAAACACCAUCUAAUAAAAAGUUCAAACCACGCAUACAAAAAAAUAGAAACGUAGUAUCUAAUAUUCCUAAAGAUAAAUCAUAUCUUUCUACAAAAAUUUUUACAGAACUACAAAAUUUAUAUGACGAAUAAAUAAAUACAUAUGAUAUACAUGCAUGCUAAUAUGCAUCUAUGCAGGAUGAUUUUAAACAAAUAUCUUAAUAUUUAUAAGUAUAUUUUAUACUUUAAAUUUGAGAAAAAAUCUUGAAUUUGGAUCCACAAUUUUUUUGUUUCUAUGAAAAAUCAAUUUUGCUUUGGCAUGAAUAUAGCUUAUUGUAAUUGUAUAAUUAAUCACAAGUAAUAAAAAUAUUCUUUAUUCUUAAAUACAUUUAGCAUUACAUAAAUAUUUUAUACAUUGCCAUAAAAUUCAACAUAUUCUGAAUUAUAUUACGUGCAAAUUUAAUGUUUAUUUAUAGUUCUUGUUUGACUGUUAACAUAGCUAUUUCUUAUGUAAUACAAAAAAUAUUUUAUGUAUGCAUGUUGAAAUCUAAAAUCUAUUCAUUUCUGAAAUAAGAAGUUUGUAGGCUCGUGCUUAUUAGAAUUUUUUCUCAAAUUUAAAGCAGAUUUUAAAUUAUAAUCGUAACAAAAUUUAAGAUUUCAUAGAUGUUGUUUUUAAUAUUAAUAUCUUUCAGUUCAUAUCAAUUUAUGUCGAUUGAAAUGAUAUAUAUUUAUACAUUUUAUUAGAACAAAUAUAUUUAUUUAAUCUUUUAUGAUUAUAUAAUUUAUAAAUAAAAUCAAUACUAUUAUAGUAUCAAAAUAAAAAUGCAAUGUAUAUUUGAAAAGGAUACUUUAUAUCCCAAUAUUGAAUCUGAAAAAAACAAUCAUAUUAUAAAUAAAUAUGAACGUUAUAAUUAAUGAUUUAAAAUAUAAAUUUAUACAAAUAAUAUAAAAGAUUGUAAUAUACAUAUACAUAAGAAUUUUUUCCAUUUAGUUUCAAUAACAUAAAAUUUAUUUACAAAAAAAUACAUAAUAGUACAGUUUAUACUGAAUAUGAAUUUUUAAAACAAUAUUGGAACAUUAUUUUGGUCUAAGAUUAAUAUUUUAACUUCUUAACUCAAUGGCUUUUCGGUUUAUAAUGCUCAAAUAAAUAACUACAUUAAAAUAUAAAAUACUUCUAUGGCAUAAUAUACAGUAUUAAAAUUAAAAUAAUUUCUAUUACUAUUCAAAAUAUAAAAUACACACAUAUAUAAUAUCUACAUUAUAUUAUAUGUUAUUAUGUAUAUAAUGUCUAAUUUAUCGAAUAAAAUAACCAAGAGAUUUUUAAUUGUACAAGCAGUAAUGCAAUUUUUCUUUUUAUUUAUUUAUUAUAUCUACAUAUAGAUGGUGCGUAAGUAGUUAUAUUUUAAUUGUAUUUCAAGUAGAAGUAAGAACAUAAGUAUUUAAAAUAGAAACCAACGAAUUCAUGCCUGAACAGACAUAAAAUGAGAAAAAGUAGAAGCAAUUGAUUAUUUACUUUCCUUAUCAUAUCCAUCAUCUAGCAAUUCAAAAUAGUUCGUAGUGAUUUUGUUUGGACAAGGGUGGAAAAAUGGCUCGUCCUAAACACAGAGUGAAUGGAGAUUUGUGUGCUGAUUGUGGAGCUGUUGGUAAGUACAUUUAUUUUAUUCAUUAUACUUAUUGAUUUAUGCUACUUUAACAAAAUUGUAUUAAAUAACUACUAAUGUAAUGAUAAUAAUAUUGUUUGGAAUAUUCCGCAUACAUUUAUAUUGCAAAAUAUAAUUAAUGUAUGUUCUUUGCAUAUAUUAUAUAUAUUUUAAAUAUAUUUGUAUGAUAUAAUUUUUUAUCUUAUGUCUCUAGUGACACAGAUACUGAUCUUUUGUAGACAAAAAUUGAUUUAAAAUUUUAAUCAAUUUUUGGUUUAUUUAUAUUGUAUAUAAAUAAAAAUAAGUUUAUACAGAACCAGGAUGGGCCUCAAUAAACAGAGCUAUUUUAUUAUGUGAUGAUUGUUGCGGCAUACAUCGUAGUCUUGGACGACAUAUAUCACAUAUUAAGUCACUCCAUAAAAGUAUUUGGAAUAUACAUCUGCUUAAUAUGGUACAUACAUUGAAUGAAAGUGGAGCAAACAGUAUUUGGGAACAUUCUCUCCUAGAUCCUAAUCAUUCUAAGAUUAGCAGAAGAAAACCACAAGCUAAGGAUCCAAUACAGUUAGUAUAAAAUAACAAAAUAUAUAUAUAAUAUUUUAUAUUCUUCUAUAACAUUUUACAUAAAAAUAUUAGAAAAGUUAAAUCUUGAGAUUCAAUUUGUAAUUAAAAUAUAAAUGUAUAAUCUGUCCUUAGUCCAAUUAAAGCAGAAUUUAUUAAAGCUAAACAUCAACAUUUAGCUUUUAUAUUAAGGCCUAGUAAAGA